rnacentral:rRNA from 1 species
AUACGUAGGGGGCGAGCGUUGUCCGAAUGAUUGGGCGUAAAGGGCGCGUAGGCGGCCCGGUAAGUCUGGAGUGAAAGUUCUGUUUUUAAGAUGGGAAUUGCUUUGGAUACUGUCGGGCUUGAGUGCAGGAGAGGUAAGUGGAAUUCCCAGUGUAGCGGUGAAAUGCGUAGAGAUUGGGAGGAACACCAGUGGCGAAGGCGACUUACUGGACUGUAACUGACGCUGAGGCGCGAAAGUGUGGGGAGCAAACAGGAUUAGAUACCCUGGUAGUCCACACUGUAAACGAUGAAUGCUAGGUGUAGGGGGUAUCGACCCCUUCUGUGCCGCAGUCAACACAAUAAGCAUUCCGCCUGGGGAGUACGGCCGCAAGGUUGAAACUCAAAGGAAUUGACGGGG